UACGUAGGGUGCGAGCGUUGUUCGGAAUUACUGGGCGUAAAGGGCGCGUAGGCGGGUCUGUAAGUCGAUUGUGAAAUCCCCGGGCUUAACCUGGGAAUGGCAGUCGAAACUGCAGAUCUUGGAUGCCUGAGAGGAUGGCGGAAUUCCCGGUGUAGAAGUGAAAUUCGUAGAUAUUCGGAAGAACACCAGUGGCGAAGGCGACUCACUGGCCCGAUACUGACGCUGAGGCGCGAAAGCGUGGGGAGCAAACAGG
rnacentral:rRNA from 1 species